UAAUUCGUUGACCUCAGCUCAGUCGUGAUUACCCGCUGAAUUUAAGCAUAUAACUAAGCGGAGGAAAAGAAACUAACCAGGAUUC
rnacentral:rRNA from 1 species